UGGCACAGCUCGUGGGUUCCGUCCUCGCGUGGGCCUCUGGCGUUAGCGCUGGACUCCAUGAGCCUCUUCCAGCUCAGAAUGUUCUGUGAGUCUGGUGAAGCUGGCCAGUGCCCCACGGGCAUCCAAGUUGAUGGUGGUGUGUUUCUGUACUGAUUGGCAUAUCCUAAUUGUUCCCAGGCUGUUAAUUAACACCUAGCAGUGUAUUCCCAUCUCGAUCCUAGCUGCUGUCUGCUUUGCCUCUGUAGAAUGUUGUGAGAUCAAGGGGAAGGAAUGCCAAAGACAUCCCAAAAAAGUAUCAACAGUUCUCUUUGCAGCAGAAAUUACAGCAAAUUUCUAAAUUUCCUAGAUUCCUGGUUAAUUUUUCUUUUCUAACUUUUUAGAAAAGAGAUCCUAAAUGUUGGCAGACUAGGAAACAUCUGGAUUAUAGAGUUAAAUGUCACAGGAAGAUUAUGCACCAUUUCACUGGUAUGUUUGUUGUUAUAAAAUACUUCACUUUUUGAGGAGAAAAGUUCUUUUUGCCCUUAAUAUUUCCAGACUCUUUGGUUUAUAUCACUUUAGUUCUGCCCAAACAAGCAUAUACUUAUAUAUGUAUAUAUAUACAGACAUAGGCUCACAUCUCAAGCUGUGUGUGAGCAAGGUAUGUUUGCAGCUCCCUGAGUGGGAAAUGUGCACUUCAAUACACAGGUGUGUGUGUUUGCAGUGGGCAGGUCUGAAAAUAAUCUGUAAGGUAGGCAAGUUUAGAACAAGUUCAAGUGUUCAGGCAGUGAAAACAAUUCUAUUGGAAAAGUGGGAUUUUUUAAUGCAGAGAAAAAAAUGUUAAGGACCUAUGCUACUCUGGUUUAACACAUAGACGUGCUUGAAAAUGUUUUAUGCCUGCAAAAGACCUGUGAAGAAUUAGAUUUGUAAAUACAAUUGC